AACGAACGCUGGCGGCAUGCCUAACACAUGCAAGUCGAACGAGACCUUCGGGUCUAGUGGCGCACGGGUGCGUAACGCGUGGGAACCUGCCCUUAGGUUCGGAAUAACUCCCCGAAAGGGGUGCUAAUACCGGAUAAUGUCUUCGGACCAAAGACUUAUCGCCUUUGGAUGGGCCCGCGUUGGAUUAGCUAGUUGGUAGGGUAAAAGCCUACCAAGGCGACGAUCCAUAGCUGGUCUGAGAGGAUGAUCAGCCACACUGGGACUGAGACACGGCCCAGACUCCUACGGGAGGCAGCAGUGGGGAAUAUUGGACAAUGGGCGAAAGCCUGAUCCAGCAAUGCCGCGUGAGUGAUGAAGGCCUUAGGGUUGUAAAGCUCUUUUACCCGGGAUGAUAAUGACAGUACCGGGAGAAUAAGCACCGGCUAACUCCGUG
rnacentral:rRNA from 1 species